rnacentral:rRNA from 1 species
CCUACGGGCGGCUGCAGUGGGGAAUAGUGCACAAUGGGCGCAAGCCUGAUGCAGCCAUGCCGCGUGUGUGAAGAAGGCCUUCGGGUUGUAAAGCACUUUCAGCGGGGAGGAAGGCGGUGAGGUUAAUAACCUCAUCGAUUGACGUUACCCGCAGAAGAAGCACCGGCUAACUCCGUGCCAGCAGCCGCGGUAAUACGGAGGGUGCAAGCGUUAAUCGGAAUUACUGGGCGUAAAGCGCACGCAGGCGGUCUGUCAAGUCGGAUGUGAAAUCCCCGGGCUCAACCUGGGAACUGCAUUCGAAACUGGCAGGCUAGAGUCUUGUAGAGGGGGGUAGAAUUCCAGGUGUAGCGGUGAAAUGCGUAGAGAUCUGGAGGAAUACCGGUGGCGAAGGCGGCCCCCUGGACAAAGACUGACGCUCAGGUGCGAAAGCGUGGGGAGCAAACAGGAUUAGAUACCCGAGUAGUC